GACGAAGGGGGCUAGCGUUGUUCGGAAUUACUGGGCAUAAAGCGCGUGUAGGCGGUUGUUCAAGUCAGGUGUGAAAGCCUUGAGCUCAACUCAAGAAAUGCACUUGAUACUGGAUGACUAGAGGACCGGAGAGGAUAGUGGAAUUCCCAGUGUAGUGGUGAAAUACGUAGAGAUUGGGAAGAACACCAGUGGCGAAGGCGGCUAUCUGGACGGUUUCUGACGCUAAGACGCGAAAGCGUGGGGAGCAAAC
rnacentral:rRNA from 1 species